rnacentral:rRNA from 1 species
AGCGAACGCUGGCGGCAGGCCUAAUACAUGCAAGUCGAACGAACCCUUCGGGGUUAGUGGCGGACGGGUGAGUAACACGUGGGAACGUGCCUUUAGGUUCGGAAUAACUCAGGGAAACUUGUGCUAAUACCGAAUGUGCCCUUCGGGGGAAAGAUUUAUCGCCUUUAGAGCGGCCCGCGUCUGAUUAGCUAGUUGGUGAGGUAAUGGCUCACCAAGGCUACGAUCAGUAGCUGGUCUGAGAGGAUGACCAGCCACAUUGGGACUGAGACACGGCCCAAACUCCUACUGGAGGCAGCAGUGGGGAAUCUUGCGCAAUGGGCGAAAGCCUGACGCAGCCAUGCCGCGUGGAUGAUGAAGGUCUUAGGAUUGUAAAAUCCUUUCACCGGUGAAGAUAAUGACUGUAGCCGGAGAAGAAGCCCCGGCUAACUUCGUGCCAGCAGCCGCCGUAACAC